rnacentral:lncRNA from 1 species
GGACGCCUGGGCCCCUCGCAGAGACCUGGGUUCCCCCCUGGACGCCUGGGCCCCUCCUGGACACCUGGGCCCCCCCGGACGCCUGGGCCCCUCCCGGACACCUGGGCCCCUCCCAGACGCCUGGGCCCCCCCCCAGACGCCUGGGUCCCCUCCCGGACACCUGGGCCCCCCCCCAGACGCCUGGGUCCCUUCCCAGACACCUGGGCCCCUCCCGGACACCUGGGUCCCUUCCCGGACGCCUGGGCCCCCCCGGACGCCUGGGUCCCUUCCCGGAUGCCUGGGCCCCCCCCGAUGCCUGGGCCCCUCUGGGACAUCUGGGUCCCUCCAGGACACCUGGGCCCCUCCCGGAUGCCUGGGUCCCCCCGGACACCUGGGUCCCUUCCCAGACACCUGGGCCCCCCGGACGCCUGUGUCCCUCCCGGACGCCUGGGUCCCUUCCCGGACGCCUGGGCCCCCCCGGACGCCUGGGUCCCUUCCCGGAUGCCUGGGCCCCCCUCCCGGACACCUGGGUCCCUUCCCGGACGCCUGGGCCCCCUCCGGACGCCUGGGCCCCUCUGGGACAUCUGGGUCCCUCCCAGACGCCUGGGCCCCUCCCGGACGCCUGGGCCCUUCCCGGACACCUGGGCCCCUCCCGGAUGCCUGGGUCCCUUCCCGGACACCUGGGUCCCUUCCCGGACGCCUGGGUCCCUCCCGGACACCUGGGUCCCCCGGACGCCUGGGCCCCCUCGGACACCUGGGCCCCCCCGGACGCCUGGGCCCGCAGCCGUUUCACCACUUUAUUGUGCGUCGCCUCCGCUACAUUCGCGGCCCCGAACCCGUCCCGCUCCCCUCCCCCACCCCGCGGGCCCCCCCCGAAAUCCUUGGGGGGGUCCCCAAAACCCAGGGACCCCCCCCCAAACCCUGGGGGGUCCCAAAAACGUGGGGAAUCCCCCCCAAAUCCCGGGGGGUCCCCAAAAACCAGAGAUAUCGCCCCAAAACCGGGCGGGACCCCCCCCAAACCUGGGGACCCCCCCCCAAAAUCUGGGGGGGUCCCCUCAAGCCAGGACCCCCCCCCACGGCCCUCAGGGGGGUCCCCGGUGUCCCCCAAGGUCACUGUGGGGGUCCUCAAGGUCUCCAUGGGGGGCCCCCACCUCCGCGUCCUCGUCUUCCUCCUCUAAGGGGUCCCCAACAUCCAUGGGGGGGUCCCCAAAAUCUAUGGGGGGKCCCCAACAUCCGUGGGGGUCUCCAAGGGGGUCUCAUCCCCUCCCCCCGAGUCCUCCAAGGGGUCCCGCGGGUCCCCGUGGGGCUCCGCCCACCUCCGUGUCCUCCUUGUCCCUCUCCAGGGAGCCCCCCACAUCCACGGGGCUCCCCAAAGCCCCCGGGGGGGGGUCUCCAAAGGGGCCCCGCCACCUCGCCGAGGUCCCCCCCCAAGCUCGCUGUGGGGCUCGACGUCUUUAUGGGGGUCCCCAAGGUCCUUACGGGGGUCCUUCCACCUCCAUGGCCUCCUCGUCCUCCUCUACGGGGUCCCCAGCACCCGCGGGGGUGUCCCCGAAGGGGUCUUCUCCCUCCCCGAGGUCCUCCAAGGGGUCCCCGAGGUCCUCCAAGGGGUCCUCGAGGUCCUCCA